rnacentral:tRNA from 2 species
GCGCCCGUGGUGAAAGGGAUAUCACGCAGGCCUCCGGAGCCUGAAGUCGGGGUUCGAAUCCCUGCGGGCGCACCA